AUGUAGAGAAUAGUUUCAUCUAAUUUAUGAAUUUAAAUAUAGAUUAUUCUUUCAUAGAGCUAAGUGCUUGAUUAACACCAAAAGUUUCUUUCUCCAUUUUUUCUGUUUCUAGUGUCCUUGUGGAAUCAGCUCUUACGAAAUUAAUUGUUUUGCAUGUAUUACCGUAUGACAAUUGAUGCAGGAGUUAGAUUUGACAAAUGUUCGUGAACUUGAAGAUUGCAUGUAUUACCCUAUGACAAAUUACAAACCAUAGAGAUAGUUGGAAGAGUCAUUAUGGAGAAACAGGUUUAUGUACGACAUUCAUGCAGGACAAAAUACUUGGCACAUGUGAACACAUUAUUAACAGAUGUGCAAAAG